rnacentral:rRNA from 1 species
CUGGUGAAGGGCCCAACGUCAGGCCGCCGGAGGCCGUGCCUGGCCGUAUCGCCGAACACGACGCGGCACGCGAACAACGCCAGCCGGUCGAUCAUCCAGACGGGCAGGUAGGCGAACAGCGCCGUGGACGCGUUCAUGAUCUCCCUCGUCAUGAGGUGGAGCUCGCCGCGGACGACGAUGGAGGCCGCGGCGCCGGCCUGGACCAGGUCCAGGGCGAUCUCCAUUCCAGAGUUGCCGCAGCCGACGACGAGCACUUCCUUUCCCCGCAUCCCCUCGCCGGACCGGUACUCGCCGGCGUGGAUGGCCUCGCCAUGGAACGUGUCCAGCCCGGGCACCUCGGGCAGCACCUUCUCGUCGAACUCCCCCGUGGCCACCACCAGGAACCUCGCCGUGUACUGCUCCGCAUCGCCGGUGGCGAGGUUGACGGCCUCCACCUCCCACCGGCCGUCCACGAAGCGCGCCGAGCGGACCUCGCGGCGGAGGCGGAGGCGCGCGCGCACGGCGAAGCGGUCGGCAUAGGCGUCGAGGUAGCGGACGAAGUGGUCGCGGGGGAGGUAGGCCGGCGCGUCGUCGUCGUGCGGCAGGUGGGGGAGCGCGCUCGCCUGCUUGGGGAGGUGCAGGUGGAGGCGGUCGUAGGCGCGCUUCUGCCACAGCGAGCCGACGCAGUCGUCCCGCUCCAGGACGAUGCUAUCCACCCCGCGCCGAGCCAGGCACGCCGACGCAGCCAGCCCCGACGGCCCCGCCCCAACGAUGAUCACCGGCGGCGCGCUGUUGUCCAUCGCCGUUGCUUGGUGCGCAGAAGCUGCCUCAGCCUGGAUGUACGUACAGGAGAUCGAUAUGCCAGGACCGGUUGGUUUUCACGGACCCUCUCCACCGAACCCUUUGUCCCUCCAAUUUCCAUCCAGAGUACGACACGCAAUCCCGUAGGACAAAAAUCUGGUCGCAUGUGUAGCAUCACACGUACAAGUGAUGUGGACAUCGAUCGAUCGUUCCAGUGAUUCACGGGUGGAAAAUGUUGCCCGGCCGGCCAACCAGCUACGUCG